rnacentral:rRNA from 1 species
GCGAAAACUCCACAAUGUACGGAAGUACGAUGGGGUUAUCUCGAGUGCAGUCCGAUAAGGGUUGCUUUUCCAUAGAGUAAUAUCCUGUGGGAAUAAGAGGGGGGCAAGACUGGUGUCAGCCGCCGCGGUAACACCAGCCCCUCGAGUGGUGGGGACUAUUAUUUGGCCUAAAGCGUCCGUAGCUGGCUGUAUCCGUCCCCCGUUAAAUCCAGCGUCCUAAGCGUUGGACCGCGGGUGAUACCAUACAGCUAGAGGGUGGGAUAGGUGGGCGGUAUUUCUGGGGUAGGGGCGAAAUCCUUUGAUCCCAGGAGGACCACCAGUGGCGAAGGCUGCCCACUAGAACACGCCUGACGGUCAGGGACGAAAGCUGGGGCAGCGAACCGGAUUAGAUACCCGGGUAGUCCUAGCCGUAAACGAUGCGAGCUAGGUGUCACGUGGAUUGCGAAUCCAUGUGGUGCCGAAGGGAAACCGUGAAGCUCGCCGCCUGGGAAGUACGGCCGCAAGGCUGAAACU